GACGAACGCUGGCGGCGUGCCUAAUACAUGCAAGUAGAACGCACAGUUUAUACCGUAGCUUGCUACACCAUAAACUGUGAGUUGCGAACGGGUGAGUAACGCGUAGGUAACCUGCCUGGUAGCGGGGGAUAACUAUUGGAAACGAUAGCUAAUACCGCAUAAUAUUGAUUAUUGCAUGAUAAUUGAUUGAAAGAUGCUAUUGCAUCACUACCAGAUGGACCUGCGUUGUAUUAGCUAGUAGGUGAGGUAACGGCUCACCUAGGCGACGAUACAUAGCCGACCUGAGAGGGUGAUCGGCCACACUGGGACUGAGACACGGCCCAGACUCCUACGGGAGGCAGCAGUAGGGAAUCUUCGGCAAUGGACGAAAGUCUGACCGAGCAACGCCGCGUGAGUGAAGAAGGUUUUCGGAUCGUAAAGCUCUGUUGUAAGAGAAGAACGGGUGUGA
rnacentral:rRNA from 1 species